CUUUUGCUGCAGAGCGGACUCUAAUCUGGGAGAACCAGAAUAUCCAUUUGACAGCCAAGCAACCCUCUGGCGUCACCCUUCGACCUCUCAGGCCAACCUUUGGGACUCGUCUUUGAGGACUCCGAGAAAAUGGCUGCCUCCCAAAACCAACAUUUUGUCUCUCUGGUCAUGAUCCUGGUUUUAGCCGCAACGGUCUGUCCAGGAAUCUCUGGCACAGAAUGGUCCGGCUGUGCCCACUACCGAGGUUACUGUCGAGAGAUGUGCUUCCCCCAGGAAAAAUCGCUGGGCCCCUCGGGCUGUCCUGAAGGCCAGGUCUGCUGCCUGUCCGGCGCUUCGGAGGGCAUCUGGGUCCCAUAAACCCAGUGAGGCAUUGGCGACGAGGAGUCCGCUGACGGAGGAGCGUCUGCCGAGUUUCCGAAGAAUCACAUAUGUCACACGAGUGUGCGUGGGGUUGGGGGAACGGUGGGGCUGUGACUGUAUAAGCGCAACUGUAUCAUUCUAGCAAAAAUAAACCUUGUGUCUG